rnacentral:rRNA from 1 species
UACGUAGGGCGCAAGCGUUGUCCGGAAUUAUUGGGCGUAAAGAGCUCGUAGGCGGUCUGUCGCGUCGGAUGUGAAAGCCCGGGGCUUAACCCCGGGUCUGCAUUCGAUACGGGCAGACUAGAGUGUGGUAGGGGAGAUCGGAAUUCCUGGUGUAGCGGUGAAAUGCGCAGAUAUCAGGAGGAACACCGGUGGCGAAGGCGGAUCUCUGGACGGUGACUGACGCUGAGACGCGAAAGCGUGGGGAGCAAACAGG